UAGGGAAUAUUGGACAAUGGGUGAGAGCCUGAUCCAGCCAUGCCGCGUGCGUGACGAAGGUCUUCGGAUUGUAAAGCUCUUUUGGCGGGGACGAUAAUGACGGUACCCGCAGAAUAAGCCCCGGCUAACUUCGUGCCAGCAGCCGCGGUAAUACGAAGGGGGCUAGCGUUGUUCGGAAUCACUGGGCGUAAAGCGCACGUAGGCGGAUUUGUAAGUCAGGGGUGAAAUCCCGGGGCCCAACCUCGGAACUGCCUCUGAUACUGCGGAUCUCGAGUCCGGAAGAGGUGAGUGGAAUUCCUAGUGUAGAGGUGAAAUUCGUAGAUAUUAGGAAGAACACCAGUGGCGAAGGCGGCCAACUGGCUCGAUACUGACGCUGAGGUGCGAAAGCGUGGGGAGCAAACAGGAUUAGAUACCCAUGUAGUCCCUGAGCGGGCUGGCAAGGCGCAU
rnacentral:rRNA from 1 species